rnacentral:rRNA from 1 species
CCUACGGGAGGCAGCAGUGAGGAAUAUUGGUCAAUGGGAGUGCUCCUGAACCAGCCAAGCCGCGUGAGGGAAGACGGCCCUAUGGGUUGUAAACCUCUUUUGUCGGAGAACAAAACCCGGUACGUGUCCCCGGCCGCGUGUUUCCUAAGAAAAAGCAUCGGCGAACCCCGUGCCAGCCGCCGGGGUAAUACGGAGGAUGCGAGCGUUAUCCGGAUUUAUUGGGUUUAAAGGGUGCGUAGGCGGUCCGGUAAGUCAGCGGUAAAAUUGCGGGGCUCAACCCCGUCGAGCCGUUGAAACUGGCAGACUUGAGUGGGCGAGAAGUAUGCGGAAUGCGCGGUGUAGCGGUGAAAUGCAUAGAUAUCGCGCAGAACUCCGAUUGCGAAGGCAGCGUACCGGCGCCAGACUGACGCUGAAGCACGAAAGCGUGGGGAUCGAACAGGAUUAGAUACCCGUGUAGUC